ensembl:lncRNA
UGAUAGGUUGGAGGUUUCCUCAAUGAAGACUUUUAGGACGAUAAAAUGUAUUCCAGAAUGUUCUUCAAAGUCACCACUAUAAUUAAACAAGGGGCAGCCAUGAUGGAAGUAAAAUGUGUUCUGAAUACCUGUAGAAAAGAUAAAAGGGAAAUCAGAAAUUAAUGAUUAAUGUUAAUAAGUGAGCCUGCAUGAAAUGAGUGUCGAGCGUUAGUUGCUCAGUCGUGUCUGACUCUUUGCGACCCUAUGAACUGUAGCCUGCCAGGCUCCUCUGUCCAUGGGAUUCUCCAGGCGAGAACACUGGAGUGGGUUGCCAUGCCCGCCUCAGGGGAUCUUCCUGAGCCAGGGGUUGAACCCAUGUCUCUUGCGUUGGCAGGUAGGUUCUUUACCACUAGUGCCACCUGGGAAGCCCCACUUGAAUUGAAAUGGCUCUCAAAGCAGGCAAGGACCAGCGUUAAGAAACAUCCAUAGCUGAGAACCCCAGCUCCUGGUUACUGGAAGCUUUCAGCUUCAUGCAAGCCUGGCACCUGGCAGUGGUUGGGGUCCUCCAUGAUUCCUCGCUUCAGUCCUACCUCUCUUCCUCAUGGAGCCACUGGUAGGAGUUGGGGCAUGCCAGGGACUGGAGGAUGCCUAGGACGAGGAGUGCCUAGGCUUGAGUGACGCUGGUUCUAAGCAAAUUUCUUUAUCCUCCCCACCUGGUUCCCAUCAUCUGGGCUGAAAUGAGAGGGGAUCUCUGGGCAUACGUGCAGGCUGGGGCUGGCAGGGGCAGGUCUGGUUGUAUCCCCCCAUUCGGCGUGGCCCUGUGUUCUGCACAUCUGGCUAUACUUUAUCAAGAAGUGACCAUUCUAUUUCUCUGAAUCAAUUGCCAUUGGGCCUGACGUUCCACUGAGCCAGCCCUGAUCCCAGGUGUGAACACCAACUCCGUGCCAGAGAAGAGAAAACCUGAACGUGCUUCUGACAGUUACGGCAGCACCUCUGCAGAUGGAGAGAAUGGGAAAGAGCCUCUUUUUACAGGCCCCCACACCAGCAGGGCAGUGUAGCCUGGUGAUUAGAAGCACAAACUCCAGAUCCCCCUGCUGUCCUCCUGUUGAGGGGAAUGGAUGGCCUGAGUGCUGGCACACUGCUCAGGACAAGAAGGUGUGGUCCAACCCUCCCAGGAACAAGCCCCAGGAGGGCAGAACACGGGGGCCACCGACUGCCUCUCCACCUCUUUCUUGGGACUUGUCAACCUGGGUGUCUCCCCGGCUGAACCCCAGCUGGUCCCUCAGGGGACCCCGCAGCGUGUUGGAAAGAGCCACUACCCAGCCUAGCGCCCCUUCAUUCCCUGAACUGGCUUCCUGGGGAAGGCCACAGGCUCCCAAGGGGCUCACAAGUUUCCAGUGCAAUGGGGACCCUCUUCAAAUUCCAAGCUGCCGUCUGAGGCUCAGAGCCUUUGAGUCCAGCUGAGUUUUGAAGCCCCAGAUGUGCCCGUGCAGGCCUAGAGCUGAGCUAGGGUCAGAUGGAGAGAACUGAAGUGAUUAUGGAAUACGGGGAGGGAGACUGGAGCUCUUGCAGGACACUGGGCAGCAGUCAUUUUGUUCACAUCUGAAUAGGAAAGCAGCCUACAACUUAGAGCUUGUUGUGUGUGUGCUCAGUCAUGUCCAACACUUUGUGACCCUGUGGACUGUAGCCCGCCAGGCUCCUCUCCUCAAAAUUCCUUGCCAGGAAUUUUCCAGGCAAGAAUCCUGGAC